rnacentral:rRNA from 1 species
GACGAACGCUGGCGGCGUGCUUAACACAUGCAAGUCGAACGGAAAGGCCCUUCGGGGUACUCGAGUGGCGAACGGGUGAGUAACACGUGGGUGAUCUGCCCUGCACUUUGGGAUAAGCCUGGGAAACUGGGUCUAAUACCGAAUAGGACCACGCGCUUCAUGGUGUGUGUGGGAAGGCUUUUGCGGUGUGGGAUGGGCCCGCGGCCUAUCAGCUUGUUGGUGGGGUAAUGGCCUACCAAGGCGACGACGGGUAGCCGGCCUGAGAGGGUGACCGGCCACACUGGGACUGAGAUACGGCCCAGACUCCUACGGGAGGCAGCAGUGGGGAAUAUUGCACAAUGGGCGCAAGCCUGAUGCAGCGACGCCGCGUGAGGGAUGACGGCCUUCGGGUUGUAAACCUCUUUCAAUAGGGACGAAGCGCAAGUGACGGUACCUAUAGAAGAAGCACCGGCCAACUACGUG